CCCCACCACCUCCCUUUUGUCCUCUCUGGGGAUCUCCUCCCCCCUCUUUCUGGUCCUUUGCCUCCCAUUUGGCUCACACCUCAACUACUGCCUCAUCUGCAGACCCCUCUGGCAUCGGCUCCUCUAGCUAUGCCUCUGAAUUCUCUCAUGGACCCGACUUUGCCCCCACGCUUUACAGCUGUGCCUGAAAGACAGGUUGGCUUCCCAGGAGGCAAAGGACAUGCUGGGCUGUAGCUUGCUGAAGGAUGAGAAACACAUGGAGCAGAGCUGAGUCAUCCCACUGGACCCAGCAGAAGCCUGAACUGAUCAGUGGACUGCAAGCCAUUUCUGAGCUAUUUGGGUGAUGAGCACAGAUGAGCAGAGUCAACCAGUCUAAUGUCCUAAAUGCAUGAACAAUAAAGGCUUAUUGUUGAAUGAG